rnacentral:rRNA from 1 species
GACGUAGGGGGCAAGCGUUGUCCGGAAUCAUUGGGCGUAAAGCGCUCGUAGGUGGAUCGGUAAGUCUGCAAAGAAAGACCCGGGCUCAACUCGGGGAACGGUGUGGAUACUACCGAUCUUGAGGCAAUCAGAGGAUGAUGGAAUUCCCGGUGUAGCGGUGAAAUGCGCAGAUAUCAGGAGGAACACCGGUGGCGAAGGCGGGUCUCUGGGCAGUAACUGACGCUGAGGAGCGAAAGCAUGGGGAGCAAACAGG